rnacentral:rRNA from 1 species
GUCGAGCGCGGGAAGCUAACUGAAUCCUUCGGGAGGACGUUAGUGGAACNANNGGCGGACGGGUGAGUAACACGUGGGUAACCUGCCUGUAAGACUGGGAUAACUCCGGGAAACCGGGGCUAAUACCGGAUAACACCUCGGAUCGCAUGAUCCGAAGUUGAAAGAUGGUUCUGCUAUCACUUACAGAUGGACCCGCGGCGCAUUAGCUAGUUGGUGAGGUAGUGGCUCACCAAGGCAACGAUGCGUAGCCGACCUGAGAGGGUGAUCGGCCACACUGGGACUGAGACACGGCCCAGACUCCUACGGGAGGCAGCAGUAGGGAAUCUUCCGCAAUGGACGAAAGUCUGACGGAGCAACGCCGCGUGAACGAUGAAGGCCUUCGGGUCGUAAAGUUCUGUUGUUAGGGAAGAACAAGUACCAGAGUAACUGCUGGUACCUUGACGGUACCUAACCAGAAAGCCACGGCUAACUACGUGCCAGCAGCCGCGGUAAU